AUCCUGUCUGAAUAUGGGGGGACCAUCCUCCAAGGCUAAAUACUACUGACUGACCGAUAGUGAACCAGUACCGUGAGGGAAAGGCGAAAAGAACCCCUGUGAGGGGAGUGAAAUAGAACCUGAAACCGUGUACGUACAAGCAGUAGGAGCAGGCUUGUCCUGUGACUGCGUACCUUUUGUAUAAUGGGUCAGCGACUUAUAUUCAGUGGCAAGGUUAACCAUCUAGGGGAGCCGUAGGGAAACCGAGUCUUAACUGGGCGUUCAGUCUCUGGAUAUAGACCCGAAACCAGGUGAUCUAGCCAUGGGCAGGUUGAAGGUUGAGUAACAUCAACUGGAGGACCGAACCGACUAAUGUUGAAAAAUUAGCGGAUGACUUGUGGCUAGGGGUGAAAGGCCAAUCAAACCUGGAGAUAGCUGGUUCUCCCCGAAAGCUAUUUAGGUAGCGCCUCGGACGAAUACUACUGGGGGUAGAGCACUGUUAAGGCUAGGGGGUCAUCCCGACUUACCAACCCUUUGCAAACUCCGAAUACCAGUAAGUACUAUCCGGGAGACACACGGCGGGUGCUAACGUCCGUCGUGGAGAGGGAAACAACCCAGACCGCCAGCUAAGGUCCCAAAUUACUACUAAGUGGGAAACGAUGUGGGAAGGCUCAGACAGCCAGGAUGUUGGCUUAGAAGCAGCCAUCAUUUAAAGAAAGCGUAAUAGCUCACUGGUCGAGUCGGCCUGCGCGGAAGAUGUAACGGGGCUAAGUA
rnacentral:rRNA from 1 species